UAAGCGGAGGAAAAGAAAACUAACAAGGAUUCCCCUAGUAACUGCGAGUGAAGCGGGAAAAGCUCAAAUUUAAAAUCUGGCAGUCUUUGGCUGUCCGAGUUGUAAUCUAGAGAAGUGCUAUCCGCGCUGGACCGUGUAUAAGUCUCCUGGGAUGGAGCGUCAUAGAGGGUGAGAAUCCCGUCUUUGACACGGACUACCAGGGCUCUGUGAUGUGCUCUCAAAGAGUCGAGUUGUUUGGGAAUGCAGCUCUAAAUGGGUGGUAAAUUCCAUCUAAAGCUAAAUAUUGGCGAGAGACCGAUAGCGAACAAGUACCGUGAGGGAAAGAUGAAAAGAACUUUGGAAAGAGAGUUAAACAGUACGUGAAAUUGUUGAAAGGGAAACGCUUGAAGUCAGUCGCAUUGGCCUAGGGAUCAACCUUGCUUCAUGCUUGGUGUAUUUCCUGGUUGAUGGGUCAGCAUCAAUUUUGACUGGUGGAUAAAGGUUGGGGGAAUGUGGCAUCUUUGGAUGUGUUAUAGCCUCUGAUUGUAUACAUCAGUUGGGAUUGAGGAACUCAGCAUGCCGAAAGGGCCAGGUUUAAAAACCAUGUUCAUGCUUAGGAUGCUGGCAUAAUGGCUUUAAUUGACCCGUCUUGAAACACGGACCAAGGAGUCUAACAUGCAUGCAAGUGUUUGGGUGGAAAACCCGAGUGCGUAAUGAAAGUGAAAAUUGAGAUCCCUGUUGUAGGGAGCAUUGAUGCCCGGACCAGACCUUCUGUGACGGAUCUGCGGUUGAGCAUGUAUGCUGGGACCCGAAAGAUGGUGAACUAUGCCUGAAUAGGGUGAAGCCAGAGGAAACUCUGGUGGAGGCUCGUAGCGAUUCUGACGUGCAAAUCGAUCGUCAAAUUUGGGUAUAGGGGCGAAAGACUAAUCGAUCCAUCU
rnacentral:rRNA from 1 species